GUAAGGUCAGAGAGGAAAGUUCUGUAUUUUCUUCCUCUUGGGAUCUGUUUUUGGUAUUUUCAAUAUACCAGUUCAGCUGAUAAUCCCAACCAUAAACCCUCCAACCAUUAUCAGCUAAAAGCCUCUUGAGCAACAGAUUAUCUGGUGAGCUUGCCUUAAAUUAGUCUGUUGUAGUUAGGCACACAUGACCUACUCUGUAGAACACUGAAGUUGACUGCAGUUCCAAAGCAUUGUUUUGGAUGGCAGUGGCCUAUUCUGCAUAAGUGUCCCUUUCAUGCAGUAAGAUGAAGCUUUUGCCAUGUCUUAACAGCAAGAAGAUUGCAUCCCUGUGGUACAUACAUAAACGACUAAGCCAAAGAUCUACUGUGGGUUGUUAAGAAGUAUCCAGUUUUGAUUUCACAAUUACAAGGAAAGAGUUGCUGGAGAUAAAACUGAAAAAAAAGAAAAUACUGAAAAAUUGCUGACAUUACUGAGAUGGUGUACAAAAACCCGG